AUGAACGCUAGCGGGGGGCCUAACACAUGCAAGCCGAGCGGGAUUUGUUGGUUAGCUUGCUAACUAACAAUGAGAGCGGCGUACGGGUGCGUAGCACGUGUGCAACCUGCCUUUAUCUGGGGGAUAGCCUUUCGAAAGGAAGAUUAAUACCCCAUAACAUAUUGAUUGGCAUCAGUUAAUAUUGAAAGCUCCGGCGGAUAGAGAUGGGCACGCGUAAGAUUAGCUAGUUGGUGAGGUAACGGCUCACCAAGGCUGCGAUCUUUAGGGGGCCUGAGAGGGUGAUCCCCCACACUGGUACUGAGACACGGACCAGACUCCUACGGGAGGCAGCAGUGAGGAAUAUUGGACAAUGGGUGAGAGCCUGAUCCAGCCAUCCCGCGUGAAGGACUAAGGACCUAUGGUUUGUAAACUUCUUUUAUACAGGGAUAAACCUACUCUCGUGAGGGUAGCUGAAGGUACUGUAUGAAUAAGCACCGGCUAACUCCGUG
rnacentral:rRNA from 1 species